ACUUGAUAAAGGCAAACUUGUCGAAAGGCAAGGACGCAAAGCCUCGGGCCUAACUCUCCUUCAUGGAGCUAUGGCGGCCGGGUUGCCAUG
rfam:Paenibacillus dendritiformis C454 PDENDC1000030, whole genome shotgun sequence.